GACGAACGCUGGCGGCGUGCCUAACACAUGCAAGUCGAACGAGUGGCGGACGGGUGAGUAAUGUCUGGGAAACUGCCUGAUGGAGGGGGAUAACUACUGGAAACGGUAGCUAAUACCGCAUACCAUCAGAUGUGCCCAGAUGGGAUUAGCUAGUGGGUGGGGUAACGGCUCACCAAGGCGACGAUCCCUAGCUGGUCUGAGAGGAUGACCAGCCACACUGGAACUGAGACACGGUCCAGACUCCUACGGGAGGCAGCAGUGGGGAAUAUUGCACAAUGGGCGCAAGCCUGAUGCAGCCAUGCCGCGUGUAUGAAGAAGGCCUUCGGGUUGUAAAGCACUUUCAGCGAGGAGGCGUUACUCGCAGAAGAAGCACCGGCUAACUCCGUGCCAGCAGCCGCGGUAAUAC
rnacentral:rRNA from 1 species